rnacentral:rRNA from 1 species
GACGUAGGGCGCGAGCGUUGUCCGGAUUUAUUGGGCGUAAAGAGCUCGUAGGCGGCUUGUCGCGUCGUUCGUGAAAACCUGCAGCUCAACUGCAGGCUUGCGGUCGAUACGGGCAGGCUAGAGUUCGGUAGGGGAGACUGGAAUUCCUGGUGUAGCGGUGAAAUGCGCAGAUAUCGGAAGGAACACCAGUGGCGAAAGCGGCUUCCUGGUCCAGCACCGACGUUCAGGCACGAAAGCGUGGGGAGCAAACAGG